rnacentral:rRNA from 1 species
UACAGAGGUCUCAAGCGUUGUUCGGAUUCAUUGGGCGUAAAGGGUGCGUAGGUGGCGCGCUAAGUCAGGUGUGAAAUUUCGGAGCUUAACUCCGAAACUGCAUUUGAUACUGGCGUGCUUGAGGACUGGAGAGGAGACUGGAAUUCAUGGUGUAGCGGUGAAAUGCGCAGAUAUCAGGAGGAACACCGGUGGCGAAGGCGGGUCUCUGGGCCGAUGACUGACGCUGAGGAGCGAAAGCGUGGGGAGCGAACAGG